AUACGAAGGGGGCUAGCGUUGCUCGGAUUUACUGGGCGUAAAGGGCGCGUAGGCGGACAGUUAAGUUAGGGGUGAAAUCCCGGGGCUCAACCUCGGAACUGCCUUUAAAACUGGCUGUCUUGAGUACGGGAGAGGUGUGUGGAACUCCGAGUGUAGAGGUGAAAUUCGUAGAUAUUCGGAAGAACACCAGUGGCGAAGGCGACACACUGGCCCGUUACUGACGCUGAGGCGCGAAAGCGUGGGGAGCAAACAGGAUUAGAUACCCUGGUAGUCCACGCCGUAAACGAUGAUGACUAGUUGUCGGCAUGCAUGCAUGUCGGUGACGCAGCUAACGCAUUAAGUCAUCCGCCUGGGGAGUACGGUCGCAAGAUUAAA
rnacentral:rRNA from 1 species